rnacentral:rRNA from 1 species
AUUGAACGCUGGCGGCAUGCUUUACACAUGCAAGUCGAACGGUAACAGGCCUUCGGGUGCUGACGAGUGGCGAACGGGUGAGUAAUGCAUCGGAACGUACCCAGAGGUGGGGGAUAACGCAGCGAAAGCUGUGCUAAUACCGCAUGUGAUCUGAGGAUGAAAGCGGGGGACCGAGCAGCAAUGUUUUGCCUCGCGCCUUUGGAGCGGCCGAUGUCGGAUUAGCUAGUUGGUGGGGUAAAGGCCUACCAAGGCGACGAUCCGUAGCUGGUCUGAGAGGACGACCAGCCACACUGGGACUGAGACACGGCCCAGACUCCUACGGGAGGCAGCAGUGGGGAAUUUUGGACAAUGGGCGCAAGCCUGAUCCAGCAAUGCCGCGUGCGGGAAGAAGGCCUUCGGGUUGUAAGCCGCUUUUGGCAGGAACGAAACGGUGUCCGCUAAUACCGGGCGCUAAUGACGGUACCUGCAGAAUAAGCACCGGCUAACUACGUA